rnacentral:RNase_P_RNA from 1 species
CGAGCCGGGCGGACGGCCGCGUGGAGCCCCCUGGGGCUUCCCGAGGAACGUCCGGGCUCCACAGGGCAGGGUGGUGGCUAACGGCCACCCGGGGUGACCCGCGGGACAGUGCCACAGAAAACAGACCGCCAAGGCUGUUCUCUUCUCGAAGAGGGCGGUCCUCGGUAAGGGUGAAACGGUGGUGUAAGAGACCACCAGCGCCUGAGGUGACUCAGGCGGCUAGGUAAACCCCACCCGGAGCAAGGUCAAAAGGAGCCGCUGUAAAAGGCGACUCUGCGCGGACGUUCGAGGGCUGCCCGCCCGAGUCCGCGGGUAGACCGCACGAGGCCGGCGGCAACGCCGGCCCUAGAUGGAUGGCCGUCUCCCCGGCCGCCGCGAGGCGGUUGGGCGACAGAACCCGGCGUACAGCCCGACUCGUCUG